rnacentral:rRNA from 1 species
UACGUAGGGUGCGAGCGUUGUCCGGAAUUAUUGGGCGUAAAGGGCUCGUAGGCGGUCCAUCGCGUCGGGAGUGAAAACCCAGGGCUUAACUCUGGGCUUGCUUUCGAUACGGGCAGACUAGAGGUAUGCAGGGGAGAACGGAAUUCCUGGUGUAGCGGUGAAAUGCGCAGAUAUCAGGAGGAACACCGAUGGCGAAGGCAGGUCUCUGGGCCGAUACUGACGCUGAGGAGCGAAAGCGUGGGGAGCGAACAGG